rfam:Oceanobacter sp. HI0075 HI0075_c19, whole genome shotgun sequence.
AGGACUAUAGCUCAGUUGGUUAGAGCGCUACCUUGACAUGGUAGAGGUCCCCAGUUCGAAUCUGGGUAGUCCUA